rnacentral:rRNA from 1 species
CAGCCGCCACGGGAAUACGGAGGGUGCAAGCGUUAAUUGGAAUUACUGGGCGUAAAGCGCACGCAGGCGGUCUGACAAGUCAGAUGUGAAAUCCCCGGGCUUAACCUGGGAACUGCAUUUGAAACUGUCAGGCUGGAGUCUUGUAGAGGGGGGUAGAAUUCCAGGUGUAGCGGUGAAAUGCGUAGAGAUCUGGAGGAAUACCGGUGGCGAAGGCGGCCCCCUGGACAAAGACUGACGCUCAGGUGCGAAAGCGUGGGGAGCAAACAGGAUUAGAUACCCGCGUAGUCCCUGUCUCUUAUAC